UACGUAGGGUGCGAGCGUUAAUCGGAUUUACUGGGCGUAAAGCGUGCGCAGGCGGCCCGUUAAGACAGGUGUGAAAUCCCUGGGCUCAACCUAGGAAUUGCGCUUGUGACUGGCGGGCUCGAGUACGGUAGAGGGGGGUGGAAUUCCUGGUGUAGCAGUGAAAUGCGUAGAGAUCAGGAGGAACACCGAUGGCGAAGGCAGCCCCCUGGGCCUGUACUGACGCUCAUGCACGAAAGCGUAGGGAGCAAACAGG
rnacentral:rRNA from 1 species